rnacentral:rRNA from 1 species
GAUUGCAGAAUUCAGUGAAUCAUCGAAUCUUUGAACGCACCUUGCGCCCUCUGGCUAUUCCGGAGGGCAUGCCUGUUUGAG